UCUGCCUCCCGAGUGCUGGAAUUAAAGGUAGUUAUUUUUAAUUAUGUGUGUGCUUGUGUUUGUAUGUACAGCUUUCAUGCAGGUGUUGGGAGGAUAAAAGUGUUGAGCAGUUGGAGUUAUGAAUGGUUGUGAGCUACCCCAACAUGGUAGGUGCUGGGAAACAAAUAUGGGUCCUUUGCCAGAACAGUAAACACAACAACUGAAUCAUCUUUCCAGGUUUGUGUUCUCCAGGUUUUGUUUUGAGACAGAAUCUCUUAGUGUACAUCCCUCAGAUUGGCCAAUUGUAUGACCACACUAGCAGUCCCCUUCUGAGGCUAGCUCUGCCCAUUUCAAGCCUCUUUGGUAUUCUACUUCCUCAGGCACUUCUGAGGUAACCCAUUCCUCAGGCAAAGCUUUGCUGAAUGCCCAGUCUUUCUGCCAGACCAUCAUCAGCCCUGCUGAAAUGUAGAGUAUAUAGCCAAGAUACCCCUGGGAUUCCCUCCCUCGAGUAGAUGGGAGUCCUAGCUCCUUUCUGAUGUUAGGAAGAGAGGUUCCCCCUUUAUUAGGCAUCCCCCAAGUGCCAUGCAGCUUCCAUCCCAGAACCAAAUUGCAGGAGAUGCAAUGCUGUUUCUCCCCACACUGCCCUUGGUAGUAGGCAUGCUAUGCCAGCACUAGUAUAAGCCCAGUAUAACCAGGCACCAAGCAUUUGCCUCAGAAUUAAUCCUAGAUGGGUGUGGUGACUCAUGUCUUUAAUCCCAGUAUUCAGGAGACAGAAGUAGGAAGAUCUCUGUGAGUGAGGCAAUUCUGGUCUGCAAAGUAUGUUCCAGGACAGCCUGCACAAAGAAACUCUUUCUUGACCCUCCUCUUUCCGCCCAAAAUUAAUUAAUCAUUUUUCUUUCUCUUUCAGUGGUUGAUAUCACAGCAAGUAUCCUUUUCUUGUACUUUGAGGGGUACUCAUACUGGGGGUGGAACCCAGCCUCUGGGGCAUGCUAAGCAAAUGUUCUGCCGCUGAGCCAUACAUGUCCUAUCCUGUGUUCUUGAGGAAUGUUCUGCUUGAAUGAAAAGCCCAUGGUAAAAGCUGGAAAGGUCCCUUUCUCUGGCAUACUAUGUACCCUAGCUGCCCUGCAAGCCAGCCACCAGUCUCUGGGCAUCAAGGUCCUCAUUCUGUCCCUUUCCCCCAAAUCGGCCUCCUCUGCUUGCCCUGCAGCAUGGAGGGGAGGAUUUACCUGGAGCUGUGACCCUUUUUAAAGAGAUGUCUUGGCGUUGUACUUCCUUAACUGAACUUCUCCAGAUCCCACAGUUUGAAGAUGUUAAAUUUGAGGCAGCAAGCCUGUUGUCAGAGCUGUAUUGUCAAGAGGUGAGGACGUGUUGCUAGCUCUGAAAGCAGGGUCUAGCAGGAGAGCAUGGAUCCCAGCACGGUAGUCAUUCCCAUUGUGUUCAGCCCUCAGAGACCCAUGUACAUGGCUUGCUCACACUCCCUUACUUCUGUAUUUAUUCAUUCAGGACUGGGGAUAGAAGCCAGGGCCUUACUUGGGCUAGACAGAUAAUGCCACUGAGCUCUGUGUGUCCCUGUCCUUGUCCCCUCCUGAAGUAUACUACCUACUAUAAUAGAAGUGACUCAGCACCAUUGUCUAAUAUUCUUUAAGGUGUAACUUUUCCUUGUGUCUUUCUUACAGUCCUAGGGUAGUGCCAGGUACUUAUGUGUACUAAGUAGACACUCUCCAGCACCAAACUGCACUUCAACCCUUUAAGUUUGUGUUAUUUAUUUUUAUUCUAUGGAUAUAAGUGUUUGGUUUUUUUUUAGAUUUUAUUUAUUUAUUUUUAUAUAUAUGACGAGUCGAGUACACCAUUGCUCUCUUCAGAGACACCAGAAGAAGGCAUCAGAUCCCAUUAGAGAUGGUUGUGAGCCACCAUGUGGUUGCUGGGAAUUGAACUCAGGACCUCUGGGAGAGUAGCCAAUGCUCUUAACCGCUGAGCCAUCUCUCCAGCCCUGGAUAUAAGUGUUUUAUGUGUAUAAAUAUACUAUAUCCUUGCCAGUUGUCCACAGAGUUCAGUAGAGGGCAUGAGAUUCCAUGGUACUGGAGUGAGAGGUUGUGAGCUGCCAUGUGGGUGCUAGGAAGAACUAAACCCAGGUCUUCUCUAAAGAGCAGCAAGUACUCUUAACCACAGAGCCAUCCUCAUUGUCCUCAGUGCUGAGAUUCCAGAUAAUGUUGCCUAUCAUGCCUGUCUGAAGGAGAGACUAUUGUAGUGUAUAUUAUAACUUUUUUUUUUUUUUUGUGAGACAGGCUUUUUCUAGGUAGUCUUGGAAGUCCGGGACUCUGUAGACCAGGCUGGCCUCAAACUUCUUAGAGAUCUGCUCUGCUUCCUGACAGCUGAAUAAAAGGCAUGCAUCACUACACCUGGUUUUUAUUCUUCUACAUUAAAAAACUAAAACAAAAAAAAAUUUUUUUUCUUUUUAAGAAUGCCACUC
rnacentral:lncRNA from 1 species